GGAUGUGAGGGCCAUCUGGCUGUGACAUCUGUCACCCCAUUGAUCGCCAGGGUUGAUUCGCUGAUCUGGCUGGCUAGGUGGGUGUCCCCUUCCUCCCUCACUGCUCCAUGUGUGUCCCUCCUGAAGCUGCGUGCUCAGUGGAAGAGGACUGUCGGGCUGCGCCAUGGAGGAGAGAGAGGA
rnacentral:snRNA from 1 species